rnacentral:misc_RNA from 1 species
AAAAAAGUCAAUAUCUGCUUGUACACUAUAUCAUGAUAAAGGUCCUGAACCUUGGCUCAGGAAGACUAGUACUGACGCUUGGCUUUCUUCUGGCAUGGGGGAGGCAAUUGAUGGUGCCGAUGGGGUAAUUCAGGAUCAGGGUGAUGUAUAUUGUGUUGUUUGUUAUGAAAAUGGCACUCUUGAAAUAUUUGAUGUUCCCAGUUUUACUUGUGUUUUCUCUGUUGAUAAAUUCAUUUCUGGGAGGACCUACCUUGUUGACACCUUUAUGCAAGACUCGGUCAAUGGUCUUCAUGCACAUUCAAAGAAUACUGAGGAUGUAAUCCGACCUGGACAGAAAGAGAAUAGUAAGGACGUGAAGAUAAACGUGGUGGAGUUGAUGAUGCAUAGAUGGAUAGGGAAACAUUCCCGCCCUUUUCUUUUUGGGAUAUUGGCUGAUGGGACUAUUCUAAGUUACCAUGCCUAUGUUUUUGAAGGUUCAGAGAAUUCUUCUAAAGUUGAUGGAUCUGUUUCAUCACAAAAUUCCAUUAGUCUUAGUAGUACAAAUGCAUCUAGGCUCAGAAAUUUAAGAUUUGUUCGGGUUCCAGUAGACAAUUAUGCAAGGGAAGAGAUGCCAUCUGGAUCCCAAUUACAGCGAAUGAAUGUUUAUAAGAAUAUUGGUGGUUCUCAAGGAAUAUUUCUCACCGGAUCAAGGCCAUCUUGGUUCAUGGUGUUUCGUGAACGACUUAGAAUACAUCCACAGCUGUGUGAUGGACCUAUUGUUGCCUUCACUGUCCUUCACAAUGUUAACUGUAAUCACGGACUUAUAUAUGUUACAGCCCUGGGAACUUUAAAGAUUUGCCAACUUCCAUCUUUCCUGUCCUAUGACAACUAUUGGCCAGUGCAAAAGAUACCACUAAAGGGAACACCACAUCAAGUUGCUUAUUUUGCUGAGAAGAAUGUUUACUCAGUUAUAGUUUCAGUUCCAGUUCUUAAGCCAUUGAAUCAAGUCCUAUCAUCUAUAGCUGAUCAAGAGGUUGGUCAGCAGUUUGAUCCUGAUAAUUUAAAUUAUGAAGGAAGCUAUCCCAUAGAAGAAUUUGAGGUUCGGAUUUUGGAACCAGAAAAAUCUGGUGGGCCCUGGAAAACAAGGGCAAGUAUUCCUAUGCAAAGUUCUGAAAAUGCUCUAACCGUGAGGAUGGUUACUUUAUUUAAUACAAAAACGAAAGAGAAUGAAACACUUUUGGCAGUGGGAACUGCUUACGUGCAAGGGGAGGAUGUGGCUGCAAGGGGGCGUGUGCUUUUGUUUUCUAUAGAUCGAACUGCUGAUAAUUCACGAACAUUGGUCUCAGAAGUCUACUCAAAGGAAUUAAAGGGUGCUAUACCUGCUUUAGCUUCACUUCAAGGUCACUUGUUGAUAGCUUCUGGUCCUAAAA